AGGCAGCAGUAGGGAAUCUUCCACAAUGGGCGCAAGCCUGAUGGAGCAACACCGCGUGAGUGAAGAAGGGUUUCGGCUCGUAAAGCUCUGUUGUUAAAGAAGAACACGUAUGAGAGUAACUGUUCAUACGUUGACGGUAUUUAACCAGAAAGUCACGGCUAACUACGUGCCAGCAGCCGCGGUAAUACGUAGGUGGCAAGCGUUAUCUGGAUUUAUUGGGCGUAAAGAGAGUGCAGGCGGUUUUCUAAGUCUGAUGUGAAAGCCUUCGGCUUAACCGGAGAAGUGCAUCGGAAACUGGAUAACUUGAGUGCAGAAGAGGGUAGUGGAACUCCAUGUGUAGCGGUGGAAUGCGUAGAUAUAUGGAAGAACACCAGUGGCGAAGGCGGCUACCUGGUCUGCAACUGACGCUGAGACUCGAAAGCAUGGGUAGCGAACAGGAUUAGAUACCCUGGUAG
rnacentral:rRNA from 1 species